AUUAUAGUUGGCUUACAGUGUUCUGUCAAUUUUCCACUGUACAGCAAAAUGACCCAGUCACACAUACAUUCUUUUUCUCACAUUAUCCUCCAUCAUGUUCCAUCACUAGUGACUAGGUAUAGUUCACAGUGCUACACAGCAGGAUCUCAUUGUUUAUCCAUUCCAAAUGCAAUAGUUUGCAUUUAUUGACCCCGGACUCCCUGUCCAUCCCACUCCCUCUCCCUCCCCCUUGGCAACCACAAGUCCAUUCUCCAAGUCCAUGAGUUUCUUUUCUGUAGAAAGGUUCAUUUGUGCCAUAAAUUAGAUUCCAGCUGUUGAUUGGGAAGAUGGCCAUCUACACAUCCAUCUGGAUCUGCCUCGGUCCUUCACUGGCCUCCUGUUCCUGAUGCAACUUUGCCCACCUGGUGUUUAGCACUGGACAGCACUCAGCACAUGAGUCUGAAUGCUCCCUCAGUCCCCACUCCUUCCUGUGGCACUGAUGACACUGGAGGUCAGCUACACCUUCCCCUCAUCCAUCCUUCUUCUAUCUGCUUCCCUUGUCACCUCCAUGUGACCAGGCUCCCCUACUCCCUCUCUUAGAUGAAUUCUGUUCCACACUGUGGUCCCAGGGAAGUUAGCUGAUGCCCUUCCACACUAUUUCAGAACUGAAAAAAAAAAAAUUUUGGCUGACAUCAGAGCAGAAAACACUCACUUUGUCCUCAGAUCCCUACAUCCCUCCCACCCUAGGGGAUUGGGAGAGUAGACAGUGGUAGGGGACUGGAACAAAACAACAUCUAAGUUUCUUCUAUUCCCAUCCAACUCUCCUCCUUCUCUCCAGCUUGGAGGCUGUUUCCUAGAGUAGCAGGAAAGAGGGGGAAAGACAACCAGGUCAUGCCUCCUUGCCUCUCCUUGCAAGAUAUCAAGCACUGAUUUUUUAUUAUCUAGGCCUGGUUUGAAACUUCCCUCCCAGUGAGGGUCCAGGACAGAAAAUAGAAAAAAAGAAUAUAAUUAAUAUCUCAAAGUAAAAUGAUGCCACACAAUCCUGCCUUUUGCUUCCAGGAAGAUAACCCCAAUUCCUUAUUUCCCUAAACUCUAACUUGUCCAUAACAAUCUCCCUUCUUAAUAACCCUUUAGCAGCUACUGUGUGCUCGCCAGACCACUGGUUCCCGUACCAACAACUCAUUUUCCCCUCAUAGUUACAAUGUGCUCAUCCACAUCUCUCCUUGUUAAACAGUAUGCCUUUGGCACUCUCUCCAGACAAUCUCACUGUCUGUACAUUAAGAGGUCCAUUUUAGGAGUGCCCAUCGUGGCUCUGUGGAAACGAAUCUGACUAGUAUCCAUGAGGACGCAGGUUCUAUCCCUGGGCUCACUCAGGGGGUUAAGGAUCUGGUACUGCCGUGUGUUGUGCAGGUCACAGACUCAGCUUGGAUCCAGCAUUGCUGUGGUGUAGGCCAGCAGCUACAGCUC
rnacentral:lncRNA from 1 species